CGGAGGGUGCAAGCGUUAUUCCGGAUUCACUGGGUUUAAAGGGUGUGUAGCGGGUAUUUAAGUCAGUGGUGAAAUCUCCGAGCUCAAACUCGGAAACUGCCAUUGAUACUAUUUAUCUUGAAUAUUGUUGAGGUAGGCGGAAUAUGUCAUGUAGCGGUGAAAUGCUUAGAUAUGACAUGAACACCGAUUGCGAAGGCAGCUUGCUAAACAAUUAUUGACGCUGAGGCACGAAAGCGUGGGGGAUCAAACAGGAUUAGAUACCCUGGUAGUCCACGCCCUAAACGAUGAUUACUGGACAUUUGCGAUAUACAGUGAGUGUCUGAGCGAAAGCAUUAAGUAAUCCACCUGGGAAGUACGUCCGCAAGGAUG
rnacentral:rRNA from 1 species